rnacentral:ncRNA from 1 species
UAUAAGUGCAGGUAGAAAUACACUGCAUACUCGCGUCACCGAACUAAUUGUUUAAGCGAUAUGCAAUAUCGUCGGCCGCGGGGGGCGCCUUCGGGCGUCUUUUUUUUUUU